UACAGAGGGUGCGAGCGUUAAUCGGAAUUACUGGGCGUAAAGGGCGUGUAGGCGGCCGACUAAGUCCGACGUGAAAUCCCCAGGCUUAACCUGGGAACUGCGUCGGAUACUGGAUGGCUUGAAUCCGGGAGAGGGAUGCGGAAUUCCAGGUGUAGCGGUGAAAUGCGUAGAUAUCUGGAGGAACACCGGUGGCGAAGGCGGCAUCCUGGACCGGCAUUGACGCUGAAGCGCGAAAGCCAGGGGAGCAAACGGG
rnacentral:rRNA from 1 species